rnacentral:rRNA from 1 species
GAUGAACGCUGGCGGCGUGCCUAAUACAUGCAAGUCGAGCGAACAGACGAGGAGCUUGCUCCUCUGACGUUAGCGGCGGACGGGUGAGUAACACGUGGAUAACCUACCUAUAAGACUGGGAUAACUUCGGGAAACCGGAGCUAAUACCGGAUAAUAUAUUGAACCGCAUGGUUCAAUAGUGAAAGACGGUUUUGCUGUCACUUAUAGAUGGAUCCGCGCCGCAUUAGCUAGUUGGUAAGGUAACGGCUUACCAAGGCAACGAUGCGUAGCCGACCUGAGAGGAUGAUCGGCCACACUGGAACUGAGGCACGGUCCAGACUCCUACGGGAGGCAGCAGUGGGGAAUCUUCCGCAAUGGGCGAAAGCCUGACGGAGCAACGCCGCGUGAGUGAUGAAGGUCUUCGGAUCGUAAAACUCUGUUAUUAGGGAAGAACAAAUGUGUAAGUAACUAUGCACGUCUUGACGGUACCUAAUCAGAAAGCCACGGCUAACUACGUG